rnacentral:misc_RNA from 1 species
CGAGGAAGCUAAAUGCUAAAAAAAUGGAAUCGAGUGUACAUUACGGUGUAGAUUUUGGCAAGGAGUAAUAUGUAUGAUGCUGAUGCAACAGACAAAUGCAUAUGCCAUGUAUCAUCAGGGGAGCUUAGUCAGAAGCAUUGCAAAAGUGAAACAAACCAGCUAUUUAUGUUCAGGCUCCAGACAUCUCUUUUUUCUCGUAUUCACAAUUUUAGUGAGAAGGAUUGCCAAGCUGACAAGUGGGAUAAACCAUUCGAGAAUUUAGUAUAUAACAUGUUAUCUGCUUCCGUGUGUCUUAGAAUAGUAAUAUCUCUGUUCCAAGUUGUUCUGUUUCCAUGUACUUUUGACAGUGUGCUUGACUGCGUUGUAAAAACAGAGAAGAAAAGAACAAUUUAUGUCAUCUUGAA